CAACGCGAAGAACCUUACCAGGUCUUGACAUCCUCUGACACUCCUAGAGAUAGGACGUUCCCCUUCGGGGGACAGAGUGACAGGUGGUGCAUGGUUGUCGUCAGCUCGUGUCGUGAGAUGUUGGGUUAAGUCCCGCAACGAGCGCAACCCUUGAUCUUAGUUGCCAACAUUCAGUUGGGCACUCUAAGGUGACUGCCGGUGACAAACCGGAGGAAGGUGGGGAUGACGUCAAAUCAUCAUGCCCCUUAUGACCUGGGCUACACACGUGCUACAAUGGAUGGCACAAAGGGCUGCAAGACCGCGAGGUUUAGCCAAUCCCAUAAAACCAUUCUCAGUUCGGAUUGCAGGCUGCAACUCGCCUGCAUGAAGCCGGAAUCGCUAGUAAUCGCGGAUCAGCAUGCCGCGGUGAAUACGUUCCCGGGCCUUGUACACACCGCCCGUCACACCACGAGAGUUUGUAACACCCGAAGUCGGUGGGGUAACCGCAAGGAGCCAGCCGCCUAAGGUGGGA
rnacentral:rRNA from 1 species